GUGGGGAAUAUUGGACAAUGGGCGAAAGCCUGAUCCAGCCAUGCCGCGUGUGUGAAGAAGGUCUUCGGAUUGUAAAGCACUUUAAGUUGAGAGGAAGGGCAGUAAGUUAAUACCUUGCUGUUUUGACGUUACCAACAGAAUAAGCACCGGCUAACUUCGUGCCAGCAGCCGCGGUAAUACGAAGGGUGCAAGCGUUAAUCGGAAUUACUGGGCGUAAAGCGCGCGUAGGUGGUUCAGCAAGUUGAAGGUGAAAUCCCCGGGCUCAACCUGGGAACUGCCUCCAAAACUACUGAGCUAGAGUACGGUAGAGGGUAGUGGAAUUUCCUGUGUAGCGGUGAAAUGCGUAGAUAUAGGAAGGAACACCAGUGGCGAAGGCGACUACCUGGACUGAUACUGACACUGAGGUGCGAAAGCGUGGGGAGCAAACAGGAUUAGAAACCCCUGUAGUCC
rnacentral:rRNA from 1 species